rnacentral:tRNA from 1 species
ACGGCAGUGGUCCAGUGGCAAGACAGGGGCUUCCCAAGCCUCUAACCCGGGAAAAUGCGGUUUUUUACUGCAAUUCGGGAAUUCGAGUCCCGGCUGCCGUA